ACGGCUCUCUAGUGCUGGGUGUGGAGUGAGGCACCACCCUCGCCCUGAAGCCUGGGGCACUCAGUCACCAUGGCUCAUGCCCCAGAACCAGACCCGGCUGCCAGCGACCUCGGGGAUGAGAGGCCCAAGUGGGACAACAAGGCCCAGUACCUCCUGAGCUGCAUCGGGUUUGCCGUGGGGCUGGGGAACAUUUGGCGGUUCCCAUACCUGUGCCAGACCUAUGGAGGAGGGGCCUUCCUCAUUCCCUACGUCAUCGCACUGGUCUUCGAGGGGAUCCCCAUCUUCCACGUCGAGCUCGCCAUCGGCCAGCGGCUGCGGAAGGGCAGCGUCGGCGUGUGGACGGCCAUCUCCCCGUACCUCAGUGGAGUAGGGCUGGGCUGUGUCACGCUGUCCUUCCUGAUCAGCCUGUACUACAACACCAUUGUGGCGUGGGUGCUGUGGUACCUCCUCAACUCCUUC
rnacentral:sRNA from 1 species